UACGAAGGGUGCUAGCGUUGUUCGGAUUUCCUGGGCGUAAAGCGCACGUAGGCGGAUCGAUCAGUCAGGGGUGAAAUCCCAGAGCUCAACUCUGGAACUGCCUUUGAUACUGUCGAUCUGGAGUAUGGAAGAGGUGAGUGGAAUUCCGAGUGUAGAGGUGAAAUUCGUAGAUAUUCGGAGGAACACCAGUGGCGAAGGCGGCUCACUGGUCCAUUACUGACGCUGAGGUGCGAAAGCGUGGGGAGCAAACAGG
rnacentral:rRNA from 1 species